AGAGUUUGAUCAUGGCUCAGGAUAAACGCUGGCGGCGCACAUAAGACAUGCAAGUCGAACGAACUCAACUCAUUCUUAACAGAAAGAGAGCGGUUAGUGGCGGACUGGUGAGUAAAGUAUAAGUAACCUGCCUAUUAGAGGGGAACAACAGUUGGAAACGAUUGCUAAUACCGCAUAUGCCAUAGGAAUCGAAUGGUUCUAGUGGGAAAGGAGAAAUCCGCUGAUAGAUGGACUUAUAUCUGAUUAGCUAGUUGGUGGGGUAAAGGCCUACCAAGGCGACGAUCAGUAGCCGGACUGAGAGGUUAAACGGCCACAUUGGGACUGAGAUACGGCCCAGACUCCUACGGGAGGCAGCAGUCGGGAAUAUUGCGCAAUGGAGGGAACUCUGACGCAGUGACGCCGCGUGCAGGAAGAAGGUUUUCGGAUUGUAAACUGCUUUAGACAGGGAAGAAGAAGGACAGUACCUGUAGAAUAAGCUCCGGCUAACUACGUGCCAGCAGCCGCGGUAAUACGUAGGGAGCGAGCGUUAUCCGGAUUUAUUGGGUGUAAAGGGUGCGUAGACGGGAGUUUAAGUUAGUUGUGAAAUCCCUCGGCUCAACUGAGGAGCUGCAACUAAAACUGAAUUUCUUGAGUACUGGAGAGGAAAGUGGAAUUCCUAGUGUAGCGGUGAAAUGCGUAGAUAUUAGGAGGAACACCAGUGGCGAAGGCGACUUUCUGGACAGAAACUGACGUUGAGGCACGAAAGUGUGGGGAGCAAACAGGAUUAGAUACCCUGGUAGUCCACACUGUAAACGAUGGAU
rnacentral:rRNA from 1 species